rnacentral:rRNA from 1 species
AGAGUUUGAUCAUGGCUCAGGACUAACGCUGACGGUGUGCAUAAUACAUGCAAGUCGAACGUGCAAUGAAAAAGUAGCAAUACUUUUUCAAAGCAAGUGGCGAACGGGUGCGUAACGCGUGGGUAAUCUGCCUUGAAGAUUGGGACAACUCCUCGAAAGAGGGGCUAAUACCAAAUAUUUUAUAUGAACCGCAUGAUUUAUAUAACAAAGGUAGCCGCAAGGCUUCCACUUUAAGAUGAGCCCGCGUCCUAUUAGCUAGUUGGUAAGGUAACGGCUUACCAAGGCUAUAAUGGGUAGCCGGUCUGAGAGGAUGGUCGGCCACACUGGGACUGAGAUACGGCCCAGACUCCUACGGGAGGCAGCAGUAGGGAAUAUUGCGCAAUGGGCGAAAGCCUGACGCAGCGACACCGUGUGAAGGAUGAAGAUUUUCGGAUCGUAAACUUCUGUCAAUUGGGGACGAAGGUAGUAAGGUUAAUAGCCUUUACUAUUGACGGUACCCAAUAAGGAAGUCUCGGCUUACUCCGUGCCAGCAGCCGCGGUAAGACGGGGGAGGCAAGCGUUGUCCGGAAUUAUUGGGCGUAAAGAGCGCGUAGGUGGUUUGUAAAGUCAUUUGUGAAAACUUUAGGCUUAACUUAAAGACUGCAAGUGAUACUGACAAACUUGAGUACAGUAGAGGAAAGUGGAAUUCCUGGUGUAGCGGUGAAAUGCGCAGAUAUCAGGAAGAACACCAGUGGCGAAGGCGGCUUUCUGGGCUGUUACUGACACUGA